rnacentral:rRNA from 1 species
AUCUGGCUCAGGACGAACGCUGGCGGCGCGCCUAACACAUGCAAGUCGAACGGAGUCAAGAGGAGCUUGCUUUUCUUGACUUAGUGGCGAACGGGUGAGUAACGCGUGAGUAACCUGCCCUGGAGUGGGGGACAACAGUUGGAAACGACUGCUAAUACCGCAUAAGCCCACGGCCCGGCAUCGGGCUGCGGGAAAAGGAUUUAUUCGCUUCAGGAUGGACUCGCGUCCAAUUAGCUAGUUGGUGAGGUAACGG